UUUUGAAACUAACGAAUCAGCACACCUUGUUCAUCAUUCGUCAUAGUUCAGCAGUUCCGUUUACGCACGUGCAGUAAUGCACGCAUCUUAUGUUUACAUAGCUUUUUAAGCAUAUUUCAAAUAUAAAUAUAACCUAAUAUUAUAUAUAAUGAUUAUCAUAGUAAAUAUGUUUAAUUUAUUUCCAAAUUUAUUAAAAAAUUAAUUUUAUUAAACAUAAUUAAGCAUAAUAUAAAAUUAAAAGUAAAAUAAAAAAAAAACUUACAGCCUACAACAAUUAAAAUGAAUAGUAGCAGAAUAUGAACUGGAUAUAAGAAAAGGAUUAACUAUAAAAGGAUGAUAAUCAAGAUUAAAGAUCAAGAUUCCUGACAAUAAAAAAUCAAAAUCUCUUAAAUUUAUAAUAAUAAACUAACAUCAGAAUGAAUUGUU